rnacentral:rRNA from 1 species
UAACCGGCCCGCCCGUCCCCUCCUUCUGGAUUCCCGUUCCUGCUAUUGAGUUAGUGGGGACGUCACAGGGAGCUGUAUCAUUGCCUUCACGGGCCAGUGGUACAGUUUCUGGGGCCCAGAUCGUUUACCGUGAAAAAAUUAGAGUGUUCAAAGCAGGCAGAUACAAUUUUCUGCCACCGAAUACAUUAGCAUGGGAUAAUGGAAUAGGACCCUGUCCUCCUAUUUUCAGUUGGUUAGAGGAUCAGGGUAAUGAUUAAUAGGGAUAGUUGGGGGCAUUAAUAUUUAAUUGUCAGAGGUGAAAUUCUUGGAUUUAUGAAAGAUUAACUUCUGCGAAAGCAUCUGCCAAGGAUGUUUUCAUUAAUCAAGA